rnacentral:rRNA from 1 species
GAUGAACGCUGGCGGCGUGCCUAAUACAUGCAAGUCGAGCGAACAGACGAGGAGCUUGCUCCUCUGACGUUAGCGGCGGACGGGUGAGUAACACGUGGAUAACCUACCUAUAAGACUGGGAUAACUUCGGGAAACCGGAGCUAGUACCGGAUAAUAUAUUGAACCGCAUGGUUCAAUAGUGAAAGACGGUUUUGCUGUCACUUAUAGAUGGAUCCGCGCCGCAUUAGCUAGUUGGUAAGGUAACGGCUUACCAAGGCAACGAUGCGUAGCCGACCUGAGAGGGUGAUCGGCCACACUGGAACUGAGACACGGUCCAGACUCCUACGGGAGGCAGCAGUAGGGAAUCUUCCGCAAUGGGCGAAAGCCUGACGGAGCAACGCCGCGUGAGUGAUGAAGGUCUUCGGAUCGUAAGACUCUGUUAUUAGGGAAGAACAAAUGUGUAAGUAACUAUGCACGUCUUGACGGUACCUAAUCAGAAAGCCACGGCUAACUACGUG